GGGAUGACACAGUAGGAUAAGCUAAGCACACUGUUGGUUAUGUGUGCCCAAGCAUUGAGGCAGUCAAAGUAGGCAAAUCCGCUUUGAUAAUGCUGGGAUGUGAUGGGGAGCGAAAUUUAGUAGCGAAGUAGCUGAUUUCACACUGUCAAGAAAAGGCUCUAUCGAGGUUAAAGGUACCCGUACCGCAAACCGACACAGGUGGGUGAGGAGAGUAUCCUAAGGCCAGCGAGAGAACUGUUGUUAAGGAACUCGGCAAAAUGACCCCGUAACUUAGGGAUAAGGGGUGCCACCAUCAGGUGGCCGCAGAGAAUAGGCCCAAGCGAC
rnacentral:rRNA from 1 species